rnacentral:rRNA from 1 species
CAGUCGCCACGGGAAUACGUAGGGUGCGAGCGUUAAUCGGAAUUACUGGGCGUAAAGCGUGCGCAGGCGGUUUUGUAAGACAGGCGUGAAAUCCCCGGGCUCAACCUGGGAAUGGCGCUUGUGACUGCAAAGCUAGAGUGCGGCAGAGGGGGAUGGAAUUCCGCGUGUAGCAGUGAAAUGCGCAGAGAUGUGGAGGAAUACCGAUGGCGAAGGCAGCCCCCUGGGCCAAUACUGACGCUCAUGCACGAAAGCGUGGGGAGCAAACAGGAUUAGAUACCCCGGUAGUCCCUGUCUCUUAUAC